rnacentral:rRNA from 1 species
UACGGAGGGUGCAAGCGUUAUCCGGAUUCACUGGGUUUAAAGGGUGCGUAGGAGGGUGUGUAAGUCAGUGGUGAAAUCUUCGAGCUUAACUCGGAAACUGCCGUUGAUACUACAUGUCUUGAAUACCGUGGAGGUGAGCGGAAUAUGUCAUGUAGCGGUGAAAUGCUUAGAUAUGGCAUAGAACACCAAUUGCGAAGGCAGCUCACUACACGAAUAUUGACUCUGAGGCACGAAAGCGUGGGGAUCAAACAGG